rnacentral:piRNA from 1 species
UAUUCGGUGCACAACCCAGAGCACCAAGGGCU